rnacentral:rRNA from 1 species
ACUGCUCAGUAACACGUGGCUAACCUGCCCUUAGGACGAGAAUAACCCCGGGAAACUGGGGCUAAUGCUCGAUAGGUGAAGAACUCUGGAAUGAGUCUUCACUUAAAAGAGUCUGCGUUAUGCUCGUAGAUUUCGCUUAAGGAUGGGGCCGCGACCGAUCAGGUUGUUGGUGAGGUAAUGGCUCACCAAGCCUUUUACCGGUGCGGGCCGUGAGAGCGGGAGCCCGGAGAUGGGCACUGAGACAAGGGCCCAGGCCCUACGGGGCGCAGCAGUCGCGAAAACUUUGCAAUACACGAAAGUGUGACAGGGCUAUCCCGAGUGCCAUCCGCUGAGGAAGGCUUUUACCCAGUCUAGAACGCUGGGGGAAUAAGGAGAGGGCAAGUCUGGUGUCAGCCGCCGCGGUAAUACCAGCUCUCCGAGUGGUGUGGAUGUUUAUUGGGCCUAAAGCAUCCGUAGCUGGCUAAGUUAGUCCCCUGUUAAAUCCAACGAAUUAAUCGUUGGAUCGCGGGGGAUACUGCUUGGCUAGGGGACGAGAGAGGCAGACGGUAUUUCCGGGGUAGGGGUGAAAUCCUAUAAUCCCGGGAAGACCACCAGUGGCGAAGGCUGUCUGCUAGAACGCGCCCGACGGUGAGGGAUGAAAGCUGGGGGAGCGAACCGGAUUAGAUACCCGGGUAGUCCCAGCUGUAAACGAUGCAGGCUAGGUGUUUGGACGGCCACGUGCCGUUCUAGUGCCGCAGGGAAGCUGUUAAGCCUGCCGCCUGGGGAGUACGAUCGCAAGAUUGAAACUUAAAGGAAUUGGCGGGGGAGC